rnacentral:misc_RNA from 1 species
UUUCCGUAGGUGAACCUGCGGAAGGAUCAUUAUUGAAUAAACUUGGUUGGGUUGAUUGCUGGCUCCUAGGAGCAUGUGCACGCCUGAUCCAUUUUUAACCACCUGUGCACCUUGUGUAGACUUGAACAGCUCUCGAGACAAAUGUGUACUCGGUUUGAGAAUUGCUGAUGUGAAAGCUUGGCUUUUCUUGUGUUCAAGUCUAUGUCUUAUAUUACAUUACACCCCAUAAGAAUGUAUCAGAAUGUAAUGAAUAGGCCAUUGUGCCUUUAAACACAAAUACAACUUUCAACAACGGAUCUCUUGGCUCUC